GAGGCCUUUCAGCAAGGAGCCACUUGAUCAUGGUGCUUCCUGAAGUCUGCUAGAACCUCAGCGUGCCAGCCCUGGAGGUCAGAGAGGACACAGCAGGGACCAGAGAGGUGUCGGGGUGCCGGAAAACUCUGUUCACGCUGGAACAACACUGGUUUCUGUGCCACUGGGCGUAAGCAGAGCAGAGGGAAAGAAGGUCUUGCCUGCUGCUGGCAACAAUCCAAGGUCCUCAUUUCUUCCCACUCCGGCACCAGCUUGCCAAGUUAGCCCCCAGGUCUCUUUCUCCUGCAAACACGGCCCUGGUCUAGACAGAAGAACUGUAUCAGCCAAUUACCAGCCCCUGGAAAAGAGCCUCAGCCCGACAUGUGGGGACGAAGCCAAGAGUCGUAGUCUGGCCCCUAGACAGAACAGCACAGCCACGCAUCCCUUCCACUCUCUACUUUGGUUGUUGGGCUCCUGUGUUCUGGGUACUGCUGUGGAACUCGUUCAGUCUCAUGACAGCCCUUAAGUCUCCCCCUUCCCAAGAACAAGAGAGAAGGCUGGGGUUGCAGGACUAACAGUUCUGCCCAGGGAACUCUAUACAAGGGCCUUGAAACCUUAAAGGCAGCAGAAACUGAGACAUCCACAUUGGGCUCACCUGUGACAGGGUAUUGGCAGUCCCCAGGGAGCACGUGGGCCCCUUAUGUGGCAGAGUGGCACAAGGCACAUUAUUCCUAGCCUGCAUCCAAUGUCAGUCACGUUGCCUGGUACCCCACCCUGUUCCCGAAAACCAAAGGCGCCCCUUCCAGAGAAAAAAGAAGACAGCCUCUUCAUUAAUAGCGCUGGCGGCAAGGCUGGAGGCCUCCA
rnacentral:lncRNA from 1 species